rnacentral:tRNA from 1 species
AGCAGCGUGGCUCAGUGGAAAGAGCCUGGGCUUCGGAGUCAGAGGUCAUGGGUUCGAUCCCUGGCUCUGCCA